CUAACUCGAAAUAUAUUCAGUUUGCCACCAGAGCUUGUCUGGAGCACAACUCGUUUCGGAAAUAAACAAAUUUCAAAAGGCACCCAAAAUUAAAAGUGAAGCAACGGAAAUUUAUUGGUUAACUUGGGUGAUGAUACACACCCAGACGCACACAUAAAAAGAGUCAUACUGCCAUGCAAGUUAAACAGAUGAAAGCCCUAUAUACACAUACAUACAUUUGAACGGACUGAGUGCAGUUGCAGACACAGAUAUUAGCUGCUGCCCCGUCAAAAUGAACACAAUUGGAAACACCCAGACGCACACAUACAAAGAGUCAUACUGCCAUGCAAGUUAAACAGAUGAAAGCCCUAUAUACACAUACAUACAUUUGAACGGACUGAGUGCAGUUGACACAGAUAUUAGCUGCUGCCCCGUCAAAAUGAACACAAUUGGAAACUAAUGAUGAUCGUUCCGCAUACCCUAGGUUUAGUUGACCGCCGCCUGGCCUUCUUUUUGCUAUAAGGGAAUUCAAAGCGAUGGUACCGGUCCCGCUGGACGAGAGGAUUGCAUCGCUUGAAUUAAAACUGUAAAUGCUGAUGAACCACACAUCCCAUUGAAUAUUAACCUUUCGCUUGUCCUUG
rnacentral:sRNA from 1 species